CUACGGGUGGCAGCAGUGAGGAAUAUUGGUCAAUGGGCGCAAGCCUGAACCAGCCAUGCCGCGUGAAGGAUGAAGGCCUUAUGGGUUGUAAACUUCUUUUAUACGGGAAUAAACUUAGCUAUGUAUAGCUAACUGCAGGUACCGUAAGAAUAAGCACCGGCUAACUCCGUGCCAGCAGCCGCGGUAAUACGGAGGGUGCAAGCGUUAUCCGGAUUUAUUGGGUUUAAAGGGUCCGCAGGCGGACUAAUAAGUCAGGGGUGAAAUCUCUCGGCUCAACCGAGAAACUGCCAUUGAUACUGUUAGUCUAGAGUGUAGUUGGCGUAGGCGGAAUGUAUCAUGUAGCGGUGAAAUGCUUAGAUAUGAUACAGAACACCGAUCGCGAAGGCAGCUUACGAAACUACAACUGACGCUCAGGGACGAAAGCGUGGGAAGCGAACAGGAUUAGAUACCCGAGUAGUC
rnacentral:rRNA from 1 species